AUCGUUAAAGUCGUUAAAAAUAAAACAGCGUAAAUUUAAUUGAAUUUCAAGCGAAUCCUUCGUAGUGUAGUGGUUUGGCACCUCUCUCCUCCACAGAGGCAAUUGGACGCCAAGUUCUGGGAUCGAUUCCUGCUCGCGCCACUAUUUUAUUAUUUUUUUUUAUACUUUUUUUUCCUUCGUGAUUUUCGCUUACGCACCGCGUACGAAACGUAUAGCGUAUCGAAUAUGUUGUUGCUUCGUUCUUAAGAAACAACGCAACCCUUUUAGUGGUUUAUUGUUAGCUUUUAAAGCGUUGUCGGAUGAAUAGCCGUGAAGCAGGAAGAUCCGGUGUCGGACGAAUAUCCACGGGGUUUAUAAUAU